GAAAUGCGAUAAGUAAUGUGAAUUGCAGAAUUCAGUGAAUCAUCGAAUCUUUGAACGCACCUUGCGCUCCUUGGUAUUCCGAGGGCAUGCCUGUUUGAGUGUCAUGGAAUUCUCAACUCUAUUUGCUUUUGUGAAUAGAGCUUGGAUUUGGAGGUUUAUUGCUGGUACUUGUGAUCGGCUCCUCUUGAAUGCAUUAGCUCGAACCUUUGCGGAUCAGCUAUCGGUGUGAUAAUUGUCUACGCCGUUGCAGUGAAGCAUAUCAAUGGGCUCGGCUUCCAAUCGUCCUUUACUGGACAAUGACUUUGACCUUUGACCUCAAAUCAGGUAGGAUUACCCGCUGAACUUAAGC
rnacentral:misc_RNA from 1 species